UACGAAGGGGGCUAGCGUUGCUCGGAAUCACUGGGCGUAAAGCGCACGUAGGCGGCUUUCUAAGUCAGGGGUGAAAUCCUGGAGCUCAACUCCAGAACUGCCUUUGAUACUGGAGAGCUAGAGUCCGGAAGAGGUGAGUGGAGCUGCGAGUGUAGAGGUGAAAUUCGUAGAUAUUCGCAAGAACACCAGUGGCGAAGGCGGCUCACUGGUCCGGUACUGACGCUGAGGUGCGAAAGCGUGGGGAGCAAACAGG
rnacentral:rRNA from 1 species